UAAUUAGCCUAUCAAUAGAGUAUUAACACAUUUUUUUUCCUUUUUUUUUUGUGUGCAAGCUAUUAUACAUCUUGAU
rnacentral:sRNA from 1 species